AACGAACGCUGGCGGCAUGCCUAACACAUGCAAGUCGCGCGAUAUCCAGGAGCUUGCUCCUGGUGAAAGCGGCGCACGAGUGAGUAACGCGUGGAUAACGUACCUUAAGGUUGGGAAUAACUUGCCGAGAGGCGGGCUAAUACCGAAUAUGUUCAUUUGAAGUUCGCUUUGAAUGAGUAAAGCGGGGCAACUCGCGCCAUAAGAUCGGUCCGCGUCCUAUCAGCUAGUUGGCGGGGUAAUGGCCCACCAAGGCGACGAUCGGUAGCUGGUCUGAGAGGACGAUCAGCCACACUGGGACUGAGACACGGCCCAGACUCCUACGGGAGGCAGCAGUGGGGAAUCUUGCGCAAUGGGCGAAAGCCUGACGCAGCGACGCCGCGUGCGGGAAGAAGGCCUUCGGGUUGUAAACCGCUUUCAGGUGGGACGAAGCCACUCGGGUGAAUAGCCCAGAGGGUGACGGUACCUCCAGAAGAAGCCCCGGCUAACUACGUGCCAGCCGCCGCCGUAAAAC
rnacentral:rRNA from 1 species